GAGUUUGAUCCUGGCUCAGAUUGAACGCUGGCGGCAGGCCUAACACAUGCAAGUCGAGCGGAAACGAGUUAACUGAACCUUCGGGGAACGUUAACGGCGUCGAGCGGCGGACGGGUGAGUAAUGCCUGGGAAAUUGCCCUGAUGUGGGGGAUAACCAUUGGAAACGAUGGCUAAUACCGCAUAAUAGCUUCGGCUCAAAGAGGGGGACCUUCGGGCCUCUCGCGUCAGGAUAUGCCCAGGUGGGAUUAGCUAGUUGGUGAGGUAAUGGCUCACCAAGGUGACGAUCCCUAGCUGGUCUGAGAGGAUGAUCAGCCACACUGGAACUGAGACACGGUCCAGACUCCUACGGGAGGCAGCAGUGGGGAAUAUUGCACAAUGGGCGCAAGCCUGAUGCAGCCAUGCCGCGUGUAUGAAGAAGGCCUUCGGGUUGUAAAGUACUUUCAGCAGUGAGGAAGGUGGGUAUGUUAAUAGCAUAUUCAUUUGACGUUAGCUGCAGAAGAAGCACCGGCUAACUCCGUGCCAGCAGCCGCGGUAAUACGGAGGGUGCGAGCGUUAAUCGGAAUUACUGGGCGUAAAGCGCAUGCAGGUGGUUUGUUAAGUCAGAUGUGAAAGCCCGGGGCUCAACCUCGGAAUUGCAUUUGAAAACUGGCAAACUAGAGUACUGUAGAGGGGGGGUAGAAUUUCAGGUGUAGCGGUGAAAUGCGUAAGAUUCUGGAAG
rnacentral:rRNA from 1 species